AGUGAACGCUGGCGGUAGGCCUAACACAUGCAAGUCGAACGGCAGCACAGUAAGAGCUUGCUCUUACCGGUGGCGAGUGGCGGACGGGUCAGGAAUACAUCGGAAUCUACUUUUUCGUGGAGGAUCACGUAGGGAAACUUACGCCAAUAUCGCAUACGAUCUUCGGUUGUAAGCAGGGGAUCUUCGGACCUUGCGCGGUUGAAUGCGCCGAUGUCGGACUAGAUAGUUGGCGGGGUAAAUGCCCACCAAGGCGACGAUACGUAGCUGGACUGAGUGGAGGGUCGGCCACACUGGAAGUGAGACACGCACCAGACGACUACGGGAGGCAGCAGUGGGGUAUGUUGGACAGUAGGCGCAAGCCUGGUACAGCCGUAGCGCGUGUGUGAAGAAGGCGUUCGGGUUGUAAAGCCCUUUUGUUGGGAAAGAAAAGCAGCAGGUUAAGACCCCGCGGUUCUGACGGUACCCAAAGAAGAAGCACCGGCUAACUACGUG
rnacentral:rRNA from 1 species